CGGUUAAGUCCGCUAACGAGCGCACCUCGUCGUAUGUUAUAUGUGUCAUACGAGACUGCCGGUAAAAGCCGGAGGAAGGUGAGGAUGAUGUCAAGUCAGCAUGACCUUUAUAUCCAGGGCUACACACACGCUACAAUGGUCUGUACAAUGGGUAGCCAAGCCGCGAGGCGGAGCCAAUCCUGAAAGCAGGCCUCAGUUCAGAUUGCAGUCUGCAACUCGACUGCAUGAAGCCGGAGUUGCUAGUAACCGCAGGUCAGCAAUACUGCGGUGAAUACGUUCCCGGGUCUU
rnacentral:rRNA from 1 species